ensembl:lncRNA
AUGACUCAGAAAACCUCCUGCCAGCUUAGAGCUAAAGCUUGUUUAAUUCAGAACUCGGUGCUCCUUCCCCCGGACCUCCUCACUCCCUCCCUCCUCUUCCUGACCUUCCCAUCACUAAACCUGUUUCAAAAGCCACACACCGUGUGCUGUUUGGGCUCAAGAGGCCAACAGCAGGAGGAACAUCACCUCAGAAGGACACUGCGAUGGACAAGGUAUGAUGAUAGCAGAAAAGACAGGGUCUGUGGGGCCCUCCCAGGUGGGGGGCAGCAGCGGGCAGUCACUCUGCCAUCAGCAUUUGGAGUAGGAAGAGGCCUUGAACCCUGGGCACUACCACCUGGCUGUGUUUCAGUUUCUGCCAGUCUCCACCCUCUAGAGGCUCUCUCUGCUCUGGUGCCCAGCUCUCCAGGCACAGAGCAUCAUCAGCUCAGCCAUGGCGGAAACCUUUGUGGAGACUGNNNNNGGUCAGGGUGGGGCACAGCUGCAGGAGAGGAGCAGCUGGUUUAGCUGACAAGUGUGGGGAGGAAACAUAAGCUGAGGGGUGGGGAUGCGUGAGCCAUGUGAAGAGGCACUGCCAUUGGUGUGAUGCCCAUUUCUGGGUCUCCACCUGGCUGUCUUUCCUGAGUACUCAAGAUCCAAGGGUAUUGAAUCAGACAUGAGCCCUGCCCUUGAGAUGCUGGUGGCUCUCUGAUGACCCUGAGGCUAGGAGGGUUCAUUGCCCUUAUGCAGAGAGUCAUGGGGAGCACUCAGCCUCUGUUGAGACUGUGGAGAGUGUGCUCUUCAUUUGGAGACAAGCUCCCAGCAAAAGCAGGCCUUUUACUGAGCAUCACUGUCAUCUCCUGUAAGUUUGAGAUUGCUAAACAAAUGUGUAUGCUCUUUAUGAAAUCACUCAGUAUAGUAUAAAACGAUGGAUGGGAAUCAGCAAUGAUUUAGUGGUUACUCUCAAGGAGGAAGGGCACACAAUUCUUAGGGCCAAAUUCUGCUACAAACAGGAGCAGUUGGUAUCACACAACACGGGUAUCUUGUAGUUGGAAAAAAUGCGGGAAUAUGUAAGCCAGGGGGUAAAUUGUUUCUUUCAGUCUGUUACCGCCUGGACUGAAAUGAGCUCAUCUUUGACAGAGUUUUAUCUGUGGGAUCCUUGGGAGCCCUGGCCUAUGGGUGAGUCCUGUACAGAGAUAUUUCAUUUGCUUCUGCCAGGUAACCUAGGGAUAGCAUUGGCUCAGUGUCAAUGUUUUGAGUUCUACAAGUAUGAGGAGAGUGAGUGUGUAUUUAAACUCUAAAGCCUCUGAGUCCUAGACCUUAGUUAAAGAAUUCUCUGGGGAUCAUCUUCCCGUGUGAAUGUUUCUAAAUUUCCCCUUUAUCUAAGAGUAAGUAUUGCUUUUAAAGAAUCCCAGUUUGAUGUGUCUGUGUGAGGAGUGCUGGGUCCCAGCACCCCCUGGCAAAGCCAGAGGUUCUGUCUUCUCUCCCUGUGUGGGCACUGAAGGUCAGGCUUCCUAAAGCAUAACCCUUCCAACCACACUCUCCCCUUCUUAGGCAGCAAUGUGUGGCGGCUGCUAUUGGUCAACACUCUGGAUUUGUGUUCCUUUGACCUUCUAGCCCCCAGGGAAGUUCCCCAUACCUUCUUGCAAGCUCAACUAUGCAUUAAAGUUAAGUUUUGUAAAUUGUUCCCAACAUUUUCUAGGCGUUCUGUUACAGGAAACUCUUCUGUUUAUCCUGUUUGCCCUCAUGCCCGAAUAGAAGCAUCAUGGACACCAGUAGUAUCUUACUUUAAAAAAAUAGAUCUAAACCAGGAGGGUGAAAUAGUUGGAUUUGCUAGAGUUAAAUAGUGGGGUGGGUAGGCAUUCAUACUCAAUAUUCUUCAGUUUGUUAAUUUAUUUCCUAAUCAGUAAACAAAGGGAUCCUACUUCGUAUUGAAGGCCCCUUUCUGUUUCCAAUUAGGAAGAGCUCUAAGUGUAAGAUCAAGUUUCCCCACACCCCAAUCCCCACCCCCGUCUACGGCAGGAAGGGUAAAAUUCUUUGGUGUGAGAGAGUCUCAGACUUCNNNNNNNNNNNNNNNNNNNNNNNNNNNNNNNNNNNNNNNNNNNNNNNNNNNNNNNNNNNNNNNNNNNNNNNNNNNNNNNNNNNNNNNNNNNNNNNNNNNCUUUGGUGUGAGAGAGUCUCAGACUUCGGGACAGGAAGCUAGGCUUCGUGGAUAUGGAGUGAUAGAAGUUCUAAGGCGAAGAGCCUGGGAUCUCAGCCCCUUGUCUCUGGCUGAAGGAGUAGGAGCUGAUUCAGCACCUGUCAUCAGGCAUCCAUUCAGCCGUCUAAGAAGUAACCAGCUCUUCUUGUCAGAUGGGCCGUCUGUCCAUCAGUAUGGGGGUGUGACCAUUUGGGGAAACGACUGCAAGCCCUCAUUCUACUUGCAAUCUCAGCAUCAGAUUGUACCCUGGGUGGCUGGGUGGGAAUAAGUGGCAAAAUUAACUUGAUUGCUAUUUCUUCCUUCUUCUGAUCCUUCCCUGUCUUCACUUAAUUCAUGGCUGGUAAAUAAAACUCCUAAAGAGACAAAAGGCAGCCCAGAAGGGACAAAGUCAGGAUUUUUAGAUACAGUGUUUCUGGGAACACAAAAGCGUCUCUGAGGGUAUGUUGGGAGGUCUGUGGCGAAUCGGUUUUUUCCUUAAAAGAUUGAAGACACACUACUUGAUUGGCGAUUAAGAGGAAAAAUCAAGCCCUCUCAAUUUCAGUUUGCCCUCUAUAAAGUGGCUGUUUUUAAAUGUAUGUGUUAUAUACAUUCAUAUAAAAAGUUCAGGAAAUUGAAACACACACUUCAGUGACAGAAGUUAAAAAACAAAAAACAAACAAAAAAGCCCUGUGUAGGAAAUCACCUCCAUUCAUUUUAAGGCACUUCCAAAAAAGCUCUGAUCAGCUCGCUAGGAAAACGUCUUCAAGGCUGAGUUUGGGAGUUUGGAUUCCCUUGAGUGUCUUGGGUCUUUGUCCAUUCCCCCUGGGACCCUGUUGCUCCUGUCUGCCCACCUCUCGCCUUCGGUUCGCUUUCUUUCAGUUUGCUAUAUUUGCUUCUUGGUGAAACUGCUCCAUAUGGAGAGACCGGUACGCGGAAGGUCAUGGGGACUUCCCUGUGGUCUCACAUCACCUUCCUUGUUUUGACACAGCUGCUGUUGGGAAGGCCGUUUCCUCCUCCUAGUAGCUGAGGUUUUGGACUUGAAGAGGAUUUGCCAGAUAUCAGCUUGAUUUCCAGCAGAUGACUGUUGGUGGUUAUCUCUUAGGACCAGGUCUGCCUCCCACCCCCCCGCACCUUCCACUCUGCUUAUGC